rnacentral:rRNA from 1 species
GAUGAACGCUGGCGGCGUGCCUAAUACAUGCAAGUCGAGCGAACAGACGAGGAGCUUGCUCCUCUGACGUUAGCGGCGGACGGGUGAGUAACACGUGGAUAACCUACCUAUAAGACUGGGAUAACUUCGGGAAACCGGAGCUAAUACCGGAUAAUAUAUUGAACCGCAUGGUUCAAUAGUGAAAGACGGUUUUGCUGUCACUUAUAGAUGGAUCCGCGCCGCAUUAGCUAGUUGGUAAGGUAACGGCUUACCAAGGCGACGAUGCGUAGCCGACCUGAGAGGGUGAUCGGCCACACUGGAACUGAGACACGGUCCAGACUCCUACGGGAGGCAGCAGUAGGGAAUCUUCCGCAAUGGGCGAAAGCCUGACGGAGCAACGCCGCGUGAGUGAUGAAGGUCUUCGGAUCGUAAAACUCUGUUAUUAGGGAAGAACAAAUGUGUAAGUAACUAUGCACGUCUUGAGGUACCUAAUCAGAAAGCCACGGCUAACUACGUG